rnacentral:rRNA from 1 species
GAGUUUGAUCCUGGCUCAGGAUGAACGCUGGCGGCGUGCCUAACACAUGCAAGUCGAGCGCGGUUGUGCUUAGUAUUGAGUGUUUUAUUGAUAUAAAACAUUGAAUUCUAUGCACAACUGAGCGGCGGACGGGUGAGUAACGCGUGGGUAACCUGCCCUAUACACAUGGAUAACAUACUGAAAAGUUUACUAAUACAUGAUAAAAUAGUUUUUCGGCAUCGAAGAAUUAUCAAAGUGUUAGCGGUAUAGGAUGGACCCGCGUCUGAUUAGCUAGUUGGUGAGAUAACUGCCCACCAAGGCAACGAUCAGUAGCCGACCUGAGAGGGUGAUCGGCCACAUUGGAACUGAGACACGGUCCAAACUCCUACGGGAGGCAGCAGUGGGGAAUAUUGCACAAUGGGCGCAAGCCUGAUGCAGCAACGCCGCGUGAACGAUGAAGGUCUUCGGAUCGUAAAGUUCUGUUGCAGGGGAAGA